rnacentral:rRNA from 1 species
UGGGGAAUAUUGGACAAUGGGCGCAAGCCUGAUCCAGCAAUGCCGCGUGGAUGAUGAAGGCCUUAGGGUUGUAAAGUCCUUUCGGCGGGGACGAUGAUGACGGUACCCGCAGAAGAAGCCCCGGCUAACUUCGUGCCAGCAGCCGCGGGAAUACGAAGGGGGCUAGCGUUGUUCGGAAUUACUGGGCGUAAAGGGCGCGUAGGCGGCUUGCCAAGUCAGAUGUGAAAGCCCCGGGCUUAACCUGGGAAUUGCAUUUGAGACUGGCAGGCUUGAGUUUCGGAGAGGUGGGUGGAAUUCCCAGUGUAGAGGUGAAAUUCGUAGAUAUUGGGAAGAACACCGGUGGCGAAGGCGGCCCACUGGACGAACACUGACGCUGAGGCGCGAAAGCGUGGGGAGCAAACAGG